CCUACGGGAGGCUGCAGUGGGGAAUAUUGCACAAUGGGGGAAACCCUGAUGCAGCGACGCCGCGUGAAGGAAGAAGUAUUUCGGUAUGUAAACUUCUAUCAGCAGGGAAGCAAAUGACGGUACCUGACUAAGAAGCCCCGUCUAACUACGUGCCAGCAGCCGCGAUAAUACGUCGGGGGCAAGCGUUAUCCGGAUUUACUGGGUGGAAAGGGAGCGGAGGCGGCGAUGCAAGUCAGAAGUGAAAGCCCGGGGCUCAACUCCGGGACUGCUUUUGAAACUGUAUGGCUAGAUUGCAGGAGAGGCAAGUGGAAUGCCUAGUGUAGCGGUGAAAUGCGUAGAUAUUAGGAGGAACACCAGUGGCGAAGGCGGCUUGCUGGACUGUAAAUGACGCUGAGGCUCGAAAGCGUGGGGAGCAAACAGGAUUAGAUACCCCUGUAGUC
rnacentral:rRNA from 1 species